rnacentral:lncRNA from 1 species
UUUUUGUUGUGAUUUUUGUUAGCGGUGUUCUUGUUUUUGUUGUGAUAUGCUAUAAUUGUGUUGCUUUUAUUGUUUAUGUUAUUGUAUUUGGUGCAUUUUAUUACUUUGUUAGUUAAUGCAGCUUGUAUUGCUGUAAAUAUCUUUUAAUUAUUAUAGCAUUGGUAAUAUUGCCAUUUUCAUUGCUGGUGUUUUUGUUUUCCAUUAUCAAUAAAAAUAUUAUGUUGUUGUCCUGUUUAGUGGUGAUUUUGGGAGGAGUUUGAGUU